AAAACCCUACGGGAGGCAGCAGUAGGGAAUCUUCCACAAUGGACGAAAGUCUGAUGGAGCAACGCCGCGUGAGUGAAGAAGGGUUUCGGCUCGGAAAGCUCUGUUGGUAGUGAAAAAAGAUAGAGGUAGUAACUGGCCUUUAUUUGACGGUAAUUACUUAGAAAGUCACGGCUAACUACGUGCCAGCAGCCGCGGUAAUACGUAGGUGGCAAGCGUUGUCCGGGUUUAUUGGGCGUAAAGCGAGUGCAGGCGG
rnacentral:rRNA from 1 species